rnacentral:lncRNA from 1 species
AGGCGCACGAGGAGCCCAGCGGAGCGCCACCCGGAGCAGGCGCGGAGGAGGGCUGGGGAGGGCCACCAAGGCGACGAGAGCCGGUGUGCCUGAAUCAGCCUAAAGGAGACGGAGGAGGAGUGUGGUGGGCGCAGGGGCAGGGAGCUGGGGGAAGGGCGGGGGGCUAGCCCAGGCUGAAGGCAGGCAGGAGCAGGGCCGCGAUGUCAGACAAGAAACGGCAGCAGUGUGUUUGGGAACCUAGCACCAACCGCACCGGUGGAGACAGGGUCUGCUGUAGAGGAGGUGGGGCCGGGUCCCAGCUAAGUAAGGCGGUGGAUCUUGCAGCCCUUCCAUCCUCAGCCGCUCAUUCUGCGCAAAUCUCGGGGCCAGCCUUGGUGGAGCCGUAAAGCGUCCACCAGAACCUGGAUCCCUCCGCCACCUUUCCCAUGAAUUCACCUUUCUGUACACAGCAAGCGCCUGAGCGGAGACGGCCGACACGUUUCCCACUGUUACCCCAGGAAACCGCGGCUCCUGAGGGGGUCAGGGCCUGGGCAGGGGGCAGAGCUCAGCGCGCCGUACUGAGGCAGAAACGGGGUCCAGAGAGGGUGGGGUGGGGGUACAGGGAAGGGUCGCCCGAAGGUCCCUGGCGCAGGGAGGACAGAGGAGGGAUCUAGAAUUCGUAGGGGAGAAGAGAACUCAGAAAAGAUCCGGCCCAGCGCAUUUAUUUUACAGAGGAAGAAAAACUGAGGCCCAGGGAGGUUUACCUGGAAGGUCCUCUCCUGCGCUGGCUCUGGGGGUGCUUGGAACCAGAGCCCCUUAGUCGAAGCGCGUCCUGCUGCCAGCUACUACCAAGUCCUUAGGCCGAGCCCGUUUCUCUCCUGGUGAUGUGAAUCCUCGUUUUUUGUUGUUGUUGUUGUCGUUUACUGAAGUCCCGGGCUGAUUAGACACAGCAAUGGAAGCUGGGGGUGGCCUGGGCCGUGCAUUGAAUUUGUGACUUUAGCAAGUCCCUAAAUUCCUCUCUGCCUCACUUUUGCUGUCUUUUUUAGGUUAAAAAUAUUUUGGAGAAUAGAAAACAGAACAAAACAAAAAUAAUGGCUUAUAGUGCCAAUAUGGAAUUAUAGUCACUCCUAACAUUUUGGUAUAUUGUUUUGCAUUUGCUUUGUUUCUAUUCUAUGCUUAUAUAUUUUUAAUUUUUUUCCAUCACUGUCAUCAUAUUUCCUAUUCAGGUCUCCAGCCUGCUUUAAAAAUUUUUUAAUCAUAAAGUUCCAUAAAAAUUUUAUUUCAGCCAAUUUCUUUUAUAACACGUUCUUCAUGAAUCUUAUCUGAUAUCUGCAUAAUAUUCCACUCAUACUUUGCACAAUUAGACAUUAAGGUCGUGUGUACUUUUUAAAUUAUGAUACAGCAAUUUCUAAAUAGUGUAUAAUUUCAAUUUUUGUUUCUUAGUUAUCAUAACAGUUCUUAAAAGGUGAUAACAAAUUUUUAAGUGGAUACAUUUUUUCCCCCUUCUUUGGUUUAUAAUUUUAUUGCUCUGUGGUCUGAGAAUGUGGCUGUAUUUACGCUUUUUGAAAUUGAAGUUUUUGAUUGAUGGUUGAUUUCGUAAAUAAGUUUAGGCACAGUUUUGUAUAAAUGAUUGGGCACAAAAUUCUUUAUAUUAGAUCAAGCUUUGUAAAAUGUAUUAUCCAUAUCUGCUAUGUCUUUUUAAAAUUUUUAUCUACUUGAUCUAAUUUCUGAAAGAGCUGUAAGUUUUUUAAAUGUGUUUGUGGAUUUACUAUUUCUUCUUUAUAUAUAUAUAUAUAUAUAUAUAUAU